rnacentral:rRNA from 1 species
UGGGGAAUUUUGGACAAUGGACGCAAGUCUGAUCCAGCCAUGCCGCGUGCGGGAAGAAGGCCUUCGGGUUGUAAACCGCUUUUGUCAGGGAAGAAACGAGUUUCUCUAAUACAGAGACUUAAUGACGGUACCUGAAGAAUAAGCACCGGCUAACUACGUGCCAGCGGCCGCGGUAAUACGUAGGGUGCAAGCGUUAAUCGGAAUUACUGGGCGUAAAGCGUGCGCAGGCGGUUGUGUAAGACAGAUGUGAAAUCCCCGGGCUCAACCUGGGAACUGCAUUUGUGACUGCACAGCUGGAGUGCGGCAGAGGGGGAUGGAAUUCCGCGUGUAGCAGUGAAAUGCGUAGAUAUGCGGAGGAACACCGAUGGCGAAGGCAAUCCCCUGGACCUGUACUGACGCUCAUGCACGAAAGCGUGGGGAGCAAACA